CUCUCAGAGCUGUGGUGGUGCCACAUUGCUGUAAUCCCAUUGCACUGGUCACCAGCAUAGGAUCCACUUCCCCAGGGAUGGAUCCUGGGCCCUGAGCCUUAACAGAUCAGUGAGGUAAGGAGAAGGAAAGGUCCCUACCACCAUCAAAGACAACCCCUGGCUCUUCCGAGCCUUGUCCAAAAGCUUCGGUGAUUUACAUUCUUUAUGUUCAAUCAGAACCAAAAGUUAAUGCCCGUUGGCUAAUUUCCAGUGCAUGCCUCCACAGAACAACUGCUGCCUUUAACUGGUGGAGAGAUCAAGGCUUGAACUGACAAAAGACAUCUGUAUUUUGGAAAACAAAUUAAUGUUUAUGUUUUAAUUUAUAAGUUCCUGGCUCUUUUAUGGUUCCUGUUUUUCAAGUAAUGUCUCUUUGGAUCCCUAGCUGAUGGAGAGUCAAAAUGGAAAAGGCCCAUGAGAGAAUUAUCACAAUAGAACAUCUGGUCUGCAUUGGAAAAAGCUGCGAAAGAUAUUCAACAUCUCUGAGACCAAGAGGCAGCUAUGAGGCAGUUUGAAAGUCAGUCUAUGAAAAAUCAUGCAGGUUGUGGCCACCUGGGCCAAUCUAGUGUUGUUUUGGAAAGAACUACUCUGCUUCCUUGCAUCUGAAUUUUAACGUUUAAUGUUUCAGCACGGAUAUGUGAGAGCUGGGAGUGGUAUGAAAGGUGUUUGCUUUUCAUAAUGUUAAUCUGAGUCCCAGCAUUGUCCUAAUUACAUUGUGGGUUUUUGCCAGUCUCCCAAGUUUUCUUUUGAGCAUGUAGGCUGGAGUCAAAAGGCUUUCCUAGGGCUUUUGGCAUAGCUUUAUAGGAAAAUGGAUGGAAAUGAGUUUGUAUAUUUUUGGAAGAAUAUUUUGCAUCCUGCUUUAAACUGUUCCAGAAGGUAAAAGGACGUUAGCUAGACUGUGUAUUGGCUCGUGUACUGGUAUGUCAGUAAUGGCAAGGAGUUUGGCUUCACCUAAUUGUUCCUGUUUUCUGCAGUCACAGACUAUGAGAAGUGCAAAGAAAUAAUGGGCCAACCAGGGCAAUAAAGGUACUACUGGAUUUAGAGGGAACAAACUCCUUUCACCACGUGAAACUUGCGUCUUUUAAGUCAUCAUAGCUCAUGCAAAACAGAAACAAUUUGACAUGUAUAACAAGAAACACUGCAAAGUGUUUGCCAAACAAAGACUUAUACUGCAGAUGGAAGAACUGAUGAAAAUUGUUUAUAGAUGGGGAACUAAAUGUAGAUUUUUCAAGAACAAGGUUGCUCUCUUCCUUGCCAAGACAAACAACAAAUCUAAUAGAAGUCUCAUUGCUUUAGGCUGCCUGAGGACCCACUGGAAAAUCUAUGGACUGCUCUCCACAGAAAAUUUGUGUAUUGUCAAUACAUAAGUGGAUUGUCCACAGUUACACUGUGGCAGCUGCAGAGGAAGUGGAAGGUUCUCAGGAAUACAUUAGGGACAACUGGAUUUUUGGCUUCUGAUAUAGUGUAGAGUGCCUUUGGAAACUGUGGAAGUUUAUGAGCUGGAUGUUACUGCUACGAAAGGUUAUCUAUGAGUUAAACAUAAUAGUAAUUAAUCUGCUAUCUUUAGAUCCUAACACUAACACCAUGAUGAAAUUGAGAAUUCCUGUUCUUUGGAAUUGCAGUUUUCCACAAUGCCUUCAUUCCUGCGAAGAUGCCCUGAUCUGCACUUAGUUUUCAGUGUUACCUUUAGCAAUCUGUGCACAGAUGUUUUUACAAGGCACUGUGUAGUCAUCUCAAACAACUGGUUUUAAUGGGCCAGUUAUUUAGGAAAAGCGUGUAAUGAGAACAUAAAUACAAUCCCUGAUACUGACAUAAAACAUGAUUUAGCAGAAUAAUAUAGUUUGUAUUGCCCUGAUAGAUAGCAGACCCUAGAAAUAUAAAACUUGUCAUAUCCUUAAAAUUCUGUUAUAUCUGUAAACAUAAAUGUCUUGGAAAAGAGGGCCCACAGUAUUUGGGCCUGCUUUAGGAAAGGUAUUGCCAGGAGAUCAAAGGAGGUGAUUAUUCUCCUUUACUCAGCCCUGGGGAUUUGUCAGUGGAAAUGCUGUGCCCAAAUCUGGGCUCCCCUCAACGUGGACAUACUGAAGUGAGGGCAGGAAAGGGCCAUGAAGAUGAUUAAGAGGAGCAUCUGUCAUGUGGCUGCCCCAAGGGGUUUUGAAGUUGAUGUGCUUGAAGAUGCUCAAAACCCAACUGGGUGAGCUCCUGAGCAGCCUGCUCUGGGUGAUUCUGCUUUGUGCUGGACUGGUUUGGACUGGAUGAUCUCCAGAGGUGCUUCCAGACUGUGAAUAUUUGAAACAGUUUGCUUAUGUUUUGUCAGCGUUUUAGCUGGAACUCAACUGUGUAGGAAUCCUAAAGAGAGCAAAGGCUGUGACCCUAGAAAUCUAUCCAGAUGGCUGAGGCCCAGAAAACGCAUAAUGAGAGCUGCUAAGUAUUUUGAAUGUCUCAUCAGAGUGAUAUUUCACUUAAAAAUACAAAUAUAGGCAUGACUUGGGUCUUAAUGACACUGAAUACCCAUAAUGUUCUCUCACUUCAGCUGGACUGCAGAUGGUAACAACCUCUCUCUAUCUGAGCACACAUAUUUUAGUUUAAUCUUGCUCUGUAAAAUCUUAUCACAUACCUUCCUCUAGAAAUUAGUAUUUGCAGCUUUAUGGUGCAGAUUUUAUUUGUUCAUUUGUUCCACAGUUUCUUUCCUUACUAGUACUGAUAUUAAUAAAUUAAAAUGUAUUUUGACAUAUUCAGUAAUAAGCACAUACUGUGUCUCAAGGAGUUGAGAAUAUCAUAAUUUGAGCAAGGUAAAAUCAAAAUAUGUAAUUCCAUUGCAAAUUAUAUGGCUCUCGUAACUAUUCUUACUGCACCUUUAGAAUAAGAACAAAGAUUAAAUUCAAAAAGGACUUUCAUAGUUUUAGAAAAACAAGAUUUAUGUGGAAAGGCAAAGAUAAUGUAAGAAGAUUCACCUGUGGUUUUUCAUCAUGAAAAUGCCAACAAACUAACUUGCAGUAUUGAGAAUUCCCAGAUCCCCCUUCUUUUGAAAACCUUUUGUCUUUCAUAUUGCCUCUAAGAAAAAAAAUGAAAGCACAAUGGAAAACCAGAAAAUGAGGAACGUUGCACAAGGAACUAGGUGGUAAAUAGAUUAUAAAGCAUUUGAUUUGAUUUUAGUUUUGCACUUCAGCAAGUCAAACAGUAAGUAAAUAACCUGUUUCUUUAUCGAUACAUGGAGUCACACUGAGUCUGACAGACCAGGACAUAAAAUGUAUAAAUAGGACCUCUGAUAAUUAUUAGAAGAUGUCAAAUUUUGCUGUGGAGGAGCCCAUCCCGAAACCACAAAAUUAAGACUUCAGACAAAAAUAACAUAUGAAGGUCAAAUACACUUAGUCAUAAGUUGCUGUCUUCUGCCACCACUUUUCCCUGACUUAAUGCUUUUACAGCAUAUCUGCUCUGAUUCAGGCUCCUCCAUGGUCUCUGCGUGGGACUGGGGGUUUGGUGGAGACAGUAUUACUUUAAAUUGACACCUCUAGCAGCAGUUCCUACUUGUACAGUUUUCCUUUUAUAAAUGUAUAACCUAUUUUAUCUAUCAAAGCCUGGCUUAGCUCCAAGUCAGCCAUUUCUCAGUAAUGCAGGAAAUUAAAUCUAAUGUCUAAUAAGCAUAGAAGCUUAUGCAACUUUCAUUCCCUGAAAAAAAAAAAAGUAUUAAAUAACAUAAUAAUAUUACCUUGUCUUUUGGUAGCUCGAGACCUGUGCACUUUGUUUUUCUGUAGACCAGAUUGGUUCUGCACUUGGGCUCGAGGAGGCCGGGUUUAUCCAUCCUUUUUCACAGACCUUCUAGAUGUCACCUCAAAAUUCUCCUCUUGUUAAAGGACCCCCUGAACCUGUCCCAUGUAAGGUUUGGUCCCUUUCUCCACUUCUCCCUGUGGUAGGAGGGAGCCCCCUUUGUUCCCCCCCACAAGGGCUGUGUACCCCGUGGUCUUACCCUGCUGCUUCCUCACUCGUUCCCUCCCUCACAGGAUUUUCUCCAGCCCAACCAAAUUUCCACCCGUUCCAUCCCAGUUUCUAUUAAUACCCACCACGGUUCUGUGUCAGUGGGUGCAACAUUUGAAAAUGCAGAAGAAAUCUGCCUCUAAGCCAUGUAGAUUAGCAACAUAAUUUCAGGGGUUUGCCUCCUGCAUGUGUCAGUUCAAUAAGUGGGUUUAUAGGGAAUAAUUUUAAACUGUUGCAGCCCUCUGAAACCGCUUCUCUCGCUUCUGUAAUACAUAAAGUGACAUAAGGUCACUGAUGCUGUGGAAAUUGGUUUCCCAUUUGAUAUUCUAAUUCAACAAGAAAUCAGUUCUUGCAGAAAGCCAAAGAAAAUUAUUUUAAUAUAGUGCCAUGCUAUUUCAUUGACUUUUAGGAAAGAGAUAAUUAAAAUAUUCAAGGGAGUUCUAAGUCUCUGGAGAAAAUACUAUUAUGGAGAUAUAAGGCCUCACAGCUUAUUAGCUUCUUUCCUAAAAGCAAAUCAGCUGAAUGUUGUGGGCACAAAAAUAACAUUUUCAUGUGCUCAAAAAAAUAAGAAAUAAGAUCCUUUGAUAAACUGAGUUCAAUAUAAGAAUAAACUUGGUUCGGUCUCUUCUGUGUCACUCACCCCAUGUUUACAGUAACUGCUCUUGCAAUUUUCUGGAUGAAAACUUCCAUCCAAUACAUCCAAGGCCAUUAAUAAGUCUGCACUAUGCAUCUGAUUGCAAUGGGGAAUAGAAUUACAUGGUGCCUAAGGAGAAAGAGAAUCUCUGCACUCAGUGUGAAUAAGGAGUAGCCAAUGCCUUGUUUUUUCAGAAAUAAAUAAUUAAAUUAAAUUGAAAACAACAGCCAAUCUGUAAUAAUAGUCACUAAGAGUUUGAAAGCCCUGUAUUUUUUCCUAACGGUGCACUUAUAAUAGGGUAUUACUGAGUGCAGCAGUAAAAUAACUGUAAUAUUUACUGUAUGAAUAUCCCAAGAGAAAAAAAUUUAGUAGCAUAAGCUGUUUCAUCUUUUUGAGAUGUACAGCAGAUAGAGUAUUCAUAACAGGAACACCCUGUUACCUCAACUGUGAAAGGUUCUGGGAAUCUAGUGACCAACAGACUGGAAUUUAAAUUUAUUUUUGUUUGGUUUGUGUUCCAGUGAGCAUUUGAAAGAUCCACCAGUUUAUCUUUGUCAGAGAUUAUUUUUCUUUUGGCUUAGCUUGGACACCAAUCCCGCUGUUGAGUUUACAUUUAUGGAGCAGGACCCAAGUUUUUCUCCAUAUGUUCAGUGUUACGGUUCUGACUUUGCAGAUCUUGUUGCUUGGGAUAGAUGCAAAAGUCAUGCCUGCUUAUACAGCAACAGCAGAACUGGGGUUCAGGUGCUGCUGGUUAGUCAGUUGAGAAGGAACAAAAUUAGUUUUGAAGGCUGCCACACUUCUUGGCUGAUGUGCAGAAGAGUUGGUAAAAGCUGCAAAGACAACUGAGUACCCUGAUGACAGUAUUUAUUAUACAUUUUAUUUCAUAAGUGGAUCUUUAGGAAUAAUUUCUUUUAUUUAGUUAUUCUGCUCUGCUUUAGCAAAUCAUGUGUGACUGUAGUUGUUUUUCCAAAACGCCUGUUUUUGUUGUUUUCAUUUCCAGUAGUCAAGUUCUCACUGUGUGUAGUAACAUCCACAAGGUGGUGCCACAGCUAAGAAGUUAGCAAUAAAUAAGACAAAUAUAACGUGGUAACUCUACCUGCUUUUUGCAACUAACUGAAGUGUCUGCACCUUUAAAGAAUUAGUAAUUAUUUCAUAAGCAUAAUCUCACAGGUUUGCAAGCUGAGUGGCAGCAGCACUCACAGACCUCUUUCCUUCCCAAAUCAGGUACAAAAAUGAAGAGACAGCUCAGGGUUAAGCAGAUGGAGUGAUGAAGAGCUGUGUGUGUUCUAGCAGGGUUAUCCAUGCUGUGCCCCAUGGAUGUAUCCUAUAUAUAUGCAGAUCCCCAGGAGUCAGCCUGAAUCCUGACAAGAAGAAUAAGUCAUCUACAACUUCAGCUUCCAUGCAUUUACCCUGGUGUGGCUGUGGCACAUCAGACCCUAAUUUUCCAAGCAAGUAUUUUACACGGACAAGAAAUUAUGUUCUAUUCUGAAGGGAAUGACAGAGCAUCUGAGAUCAUCCAUUUAAGUCUCCACUUUAUGUAAACCCCAGGUAUGCAUUAUUUUAGAAAUUUAACAACUGAAUUGAGGUCCAGAACACUUUCCCUUGCAGUAUUUAUAAUGAUUUUUGCACUGUUUCUGGAAAUCCCCUAAAUAUUAUUAAAAUAUCAGAACUGUUUUUCCUCUAACUCCGGUUCUCCGGUUUCCCAUUUAGGCGCUCGUGAACCAAACAUGCUUCAGCUCUGUGUCUUUACCUAGAUCUUACUAGCAGGAGGUAACUUCCAGUGUUCUGAGCUGGGAGUCAGCCCGAGCAGGGCUCAGCAAUCAUCCUGCAGAUGCACAGCGUUAACCGGAAACAAUUCACAGUGGCGGUGGUAUCCUGCAGGAUGUGUGCGACGCCGUCAGCUGGGUGGUGAUUUACACGGGGCCACAUUAUAGAUUAUACGUUCUGGUAAUUGUGGUAUUGUUAUUGCUGGGCUGUAUCUAAGCACAGGAAACGCAUAUAAGCACAUUGGGAGUGAUAACAUCCACUCCUGUUUAAAGGGCAAUAUUUUAUUCUCAGACUUAAUACUGUAUUUGUAAUAAUGUGGACAAUUUCCUAACUAGUACUUAGCAAGACUUUUAGGAGAAAAACCUGAUUCGUUGUGGGAGGCCCAUAAGCAGCAUUUGCAAAGAAAUCCACAUCAACUUUUAUUCACUUGAAUUUUAUUUUUUCCAGUAUGGACUCUAAUCCGAGAUCAAGAAGGAGACAAUACAUUGCCAUCUGAAAGCACAAGAAAGAUCAAAAUAAGUUUUCAAUGUGUCACCGAAACCACAGUGCUGGGUUUCUGUUAAGGAGAAUGACUAAUACCAUUCUAGCUGUGAAGAAUGCUGUGAGUGGGUAAUAAUUCCAUCUAACUGAUAGAGCAGGUUUUCUGCAAGAAAAUAAAUUUUCCCAACUAAAAUCUUCCCCAAUUUCUUCAACUCGGUAAGAAAGCCCACUCACCAUACCCAUUUAGCUGCUCUAACACUGAACAAAAGUAUAGUUUUGUCAGGCCUCUUAUUAACAAAAAUUUUAAAUAAUAAUGUUACUGAUGCCUGGUAAUAUGCCUUUACAUUGUGGCAGCCUCGUUAUAAUAUUCUUUUGGAAGUGUCACCUGCUUAGGUAAGCUUCGAUUUACAAGAUAAUAUUAAGACAUGUUUAAUUUUAAUUAUGAUCUUUACUAUUUUCCUGAAUAGGAAUCUCUGUCCUUAGUUCAAACUUCUAAUAUCCUGUUUAACAAAGAAACAACUUCAAUCGUACUAAGAGUACUUAAAGUUAAGAAAGUUUUCCUAGUUGGUUGCUGGGAUUAGGGCUUUAAAAACAAAGGGCAGGUGAAGAUCCCUUCUUGGAAUACACUAGGAUAUGUACCUCUAUUUUUGUUUGUAGUUCAUAAGUCUACCAUAUUACAUAGACCAGUAAUAACUUUAAUAUAAUUAAAUAUAUUUGUAUUUGUGUGAGUGACUGGAGUUGAACAGCACACCUACAUGGCUGCAGCAUGUGUGAAUCUUCCUGCAGUACAUUGUGGUGUUGGCUUUCAUUAGGCAGUAAGAGAUGUUGCCUGCAAAAAUAUCUCACAACUUGAAAAGGAGACUAAUGUCUGUCUUUUUCACUUGGGAAAUGUAUUUCAUCACUCUCUCACAAGACAUCGAAAUCCCUGUGCUCUUAAUCAUGUCUGUGGAAAUGAAAAUACCAGGCUCUGCACACCAUAGGAUUUGUAAUUAGCUUGAGAUAUCCAGAGAAAAUUCUGUAAGUUACUUUAAUCUCUUUAUUUUGACUUGUCUCAAAUCUGUCUGAUUUUGUUUGACUUUAUAAGAGUAAUUUCUGGUAGAAAUGUCUAUGUUGCAAUUGAAAUGCUCUAACAAGUCCCCAUCACAAAAAUGCACUGAAUUCUGUUACUUGUGAGGAGCCAUGUGGAGUCCUGGAGUCCUUGUGGCAAUUGGGGAACUCAGGAGCUUCCUGGUCUCACUUGAGAUAUAUGACAGAACCUCAAAAACACCUGGGAUGUCUUUAGGUCUUAAAUAUUUGGUUUAAAUGUCUAAAAGGUGAGAGUUUCUUAAGCAUCAUGAGACACGAGCGUUUACAGAUCAGCCUGAGCCUUACCUCUUGCAUUUACUUCUUCAAUAAAGUUGUCAGGAUGCUGCCAAGCUGGGCUGCCAGAUGUGCUCCUCCACAUUCAGGUAAGUAAUCACUUGGGCCUGGGAUCUUUUGUGCAAGCUAUGCCUGAACCCACUGCAGUUGUUUUGGGGGACACACUAAAGUGGUCAGCAUAAACUGAGAAGACUUUCUCCAGCACUUUGUCAGCGUGCCAGAAGAAAUUCCUUGGGAUUCAGAGUCUGAGAUUUCAUUUCAGUUAAUUGUCAGGAUGAUGAAUAUUAUUUAUUCCACACUAAGGCUUCUUUUAAUCCAAAACACAGACAGAUAGCGUCAAUGCAGGCAAAAUGAUACUUCUUCCUGCAUAGAAGCCCAUGUAGAUAUAAUCCAGUUUACUCUCCUGUCUCUAAAUGUGAAGGACAACAGGAAUGGAGACUGCAGCUGGCCUGGGAUUCCCUUGCACUUGAACAAUAUGGUAAACUGAGAACUCCUCAAAGUUGUUAAAUUCUGUCUAGUUUGGAAAAGGAGCUGUAUGAGGCAGAUGCUCAGUGAGGCAAUGGAGCCCAGUGGGCAGAGUGCUGGACAGGGAUUGAGAAAUCUGGGUUCUUUUCCAAACUCUCCUGACUUUUAAAUGACCUUGAGCUGUCACUUCUCUGUGCUUUGGAUCCACUGCCUGUAUGAGGAGGAUAAUAAUGCUCACAAGGGUUUCAGGGUUGCUGAAGGAAGGAUCUGCAUGAGCACAACCUUUCUUGCACUGCCCUGAGCUGGAUGCAGCUGUGGUUAAAGGUGGCCAGGAUUUGGUCAGUGCCUCUUGUAUUCCAGAAAAUCUGGGAAACUUUGAUUGUUAGACAGCUUGCUUGCAGUUAUCUGGCAAAACACAUUUUCAUGUUAAAGGUCUUUCUUAUCUUUCAGACCAUUACAAAAUAUCUCCAGAAAAUUUCAUAUUAUUUACUUACGCAUUAAUAGUCACAAUUCAUACUCCUGUUCCUGGGAACUGCAAAGUGCCUCUCAGGAUCAUACAGAUGAUAACAUAGAUAAUGUGGUUUUGACCUAAAAAAGAGAAGAGUUUUGCAAUGUUAUAGUUAACAUAUCUGAGGAAAAAAAAUAUCAAUUAGUUUAUGUUAUAAGGUAGUGCCAUUGGACUUUUAGUUUGAAACUACAAAAAAAUUGUUUUUUUUUUUAAAUUGUCAUUUCAAAUCAAUGUCUUGAUUUCACUUUUUGUAUUAAUAUACAAGCUCUGUGCACAAAAAAAGAACAGUCUACUUUCAAAACUGCUGAAUGCUUUGACCUCAAGGGCAUAGAAACUGUUGACUCAUUGUUUUUACUGCAUAUAAUAUUAGUCCUUUGUCACAUCCAGGGAAUGACAUCAUCUUCUUCAUUGUUAGCAGCAGGUUUGAAUAACACAAAAAGUGCAGCAUUCGUUGUCUGCUGUGUUUGUUCUUAAUAAAUGAAUGGAUAUCUGGUACCAAGACUCAGAUUAGGAUUUUUGAGUAACAUUUAGAACGAGCUUGUGCCCAAACCCUGCAAAGAGCUUUGCUUCUGGCCACCAUCUGCGGGGCAGUCGGGCUGGCAGGAGCACGGAGCCUGCAGAGGGAACGUAGCUGAUGGUUCUGGCUUCUUGGAAGUGGUAAGAGGAGUCAGGAAAGGAAGAGAUUAAGCACAGAAUGAAACAGAUCUGUUCUUCAAGGUCAGUUUAGUAGAAGGAGUCCCUGCACUUGUGUGAAUCAUGCUUCUGUGAAAUCUAAAAUCGUGAAAAGUAUGGUCGGAAAAGAAGUCAUCUCUAGGACGUGCAAACAAAACGGGAGCUAAUUAUUUUGAAAAUGCACCGGAACAAGUAAUUCAGCCAUUCUAAAUUUGUAUUCAUGGUUAUUAUUCUUCUACUCCUUAUAACUAAAAUGCCUAAGUCCUAAUCUCAAAGAAUAUUUCUCUAUCAGAAGUAUUUGGUUACUCCUGCCUGCUUCAUGGAAGAAGGAUACAUCGUAAUUACUAACCAGGCUGGUGGAGGUCUUCUUUAAGGUCAUACACCACCUUCUAUAAGGUUCUUCAGAAGAGAAUUCUUUCAUGGCAGAGAAAAUUCUAAGUGUUGCUUCCUGAACAGUAAACAUUCCUAGUGGAAAAGAAUUUACUCAGGGAGAGAGUCCUCGAGAGUCUGAUCAAAUGUCAAAUUCUAUCUAAUCCAUUAGCAAUUGCCUUUAUGUUUUUCCAGAAAAAUGUAAUGUCUUUAACGAUAAAAUUCUACCUAUGUGGUUCCAAAAAUAUCUGUCCUGAAGAUAAGUUCCUGUGUUGAGAGAAUGAAUCAAACUGGACUUUGAAAAGCUAAAAUCUAUUCAGCUGUGAGAGAAGCGCUGAGGCAGCAGGCUGGGAAAGCUGGAGGCCAUGGGUUAAGGAUCCAGGAUUGCUGGAUCACAAGAGGUCCACAUACCAAGAGUGGAUGCAGACAAGGGCUACAUACAUGGAAAUAUUUUCUAGAAUGCCAGAACUAUAAAAGAAUAAAGAAGCCAUGCUGAAAAAGAUCAAAUUCAGACCUUGUUGGCUUGGAAGCAGCAGAGAUCUGAUGUAUUGACCUCUUCACAACAGAUAUACCUGUACUUGUGCAGGCAGGGAGAGCUGCCUCUCAUAUGGGUUUGAGCAGAUGCAUCUAUCUCAGUUCCUAUCCCAGAUUUAUAAUUCCAAAUUAUGAGAAGUAAGAAAUGUUACACUUUUUUCUACAUAUUUCAUGUGCUUUUGCCGUAUGAAGUCUUUCCUCAGUCUUCUUUCCAGUCCACAGUUUACCUUCAAUCAACAUUUCAAAAAGUCUCAAGUAGCAUGAAUUUUGGUGAGGCCAAAUCACUUGAUUUUCUCUUACCCUGUUUAGAGGAGGCUUUACUUGGACAAAAGCAAUCGUGCCAGCCACUUCCCUUCAUCCUUUAAAAUUACUGGCCACCUCUAAAGAACUUGGCCUCUCUUUUAUGUCACUUUCUGACAACUCAUUUGAGUUGAACAGGUUGCUGUGGCCAAAUUAAAUGCUUGGGAAAUGGACCAUACAAUUAAUUUGCAAUAGUAAGUUGUCUCAGCAUCAUUUCUCUUCCUCUCAAGGGGAAUGCUGGCUCAAGCAAAAGAAAAGAUUAACGUAAUAAAAAUAUUCUAAAGACAUCCUGUUAAUUGUCCCAAGCUCAGAUGGUAUUGUCUAUUCUUCUGUUGUGCAUAGCCAGCAAACAGUGUAAAAUCCAGAAUUCCUUCCCACCAUGAAAGCAGAGCCUUCAGUGCUGCAGGAUAAUCCCUGCCUUUCUGGAAAGCAGAUGAAAAUGUGGUGUGGCAGAGCUUUGCCUUGGGUUCCAGAGGUGAGCUCAAAUUUACUCCAUUUAUGAGUAUAAUAAUAGAACUUGCUAAUUUAGAUACAUCAGCAACUUUAAACAAGAGAUUGAAGAUCUAUGGAAAAAAAGGAAAAUUGCAAACCCAGAGCAAAUUUGGGGGAAAAAAAGGAAUUUUUUUUACCCUGAAUAUGCAAAUGAGAUUUCCCAUGUUUCUUUAGGGACAGAAAACACUCGAGGUUUUAAAUUCAGCCAAAAUAAAGGCUUUCAUUUACAAUGACAUUUGCAAUGUUGACCUUGAAUAUCACAUUCAGUGACAGCAAAUCCCAUAGGAAAAGUUAAUAUAUCAAAUAAAACUCAGAAAUAUUCACAAGUGACUGAGUGAAGCAAAGCUGUCAGAAGAGUUAAAUGAAAGAAGAUUCUGCAAUUCUGGCUUUGCUCUAAAAUGUCGUUUCCUCAAAAAGGACAAAGUCUGAUUUUUGCUUAUAUGAAAAUAGUCAUAAAAUAUGUAAGAAAACACAGAAGGUCGUUUGCUUCAGUUCCUGUAAACUAAUCAGGCUGAAUGAUGAGUCUUCCUGUAACUCAGAGCCCUUUUGAAUACUAUGCAUGGAACUGUCCUCCCCUCAUAAACAGCUCGAGCUUUGCCUAUGUAUCAGUGGAGAAAAAUAAGUAUUGACUUAUUCACAAAUUACUUUUUAGGCACUGGAUUCCCAGAAAUAUAUUUGUAUAACAGCAUCUAGAAGCAAAUGAAUGUGUUAAUAAGCAGUUUUUCUUCCAUUUUAUGGCCUUAAAGACACUUUGAUCUUCUAAAAUGAUGUUUGCCUUUCUGAAAAGCAAACUUUUAUCUCAGCUCUGGUGCUCAUUUCCUUAUCUCUCCUUCUGAAAUAAAUUUUGGACAUGAAUUCAGUAUGCCCCAUUUUAUUUUAUUUCAGACUGCAAAUUGAGAUGUUUUUAAAUAUUUUAUCAAACAACCAGGUUCCCUACAAGAUGCUAACUUGUUCUCCUGGUUUUCCUUUUUUAUGUAUCUUUCCAAAAUGAAAUAUUUUGGAUGUGGUACAGUUUGUUCACAUGUCAAAUAUGGAUUUUUUAAUUCUGUCUUUCUGCAGAACAGUAAGGAGAGAAAAUAAAUCAGAUGUUUUAUCUGAUUGUACUUUGAUCAGGUUUUUCUGUAUUCUCAAAAAGAACAGCAUGGAGCUUCACUUGCUGCACAAAAAGCAUUUUUAGCAUUUUUGAAACUAUUUUAAACCAUCUCAGGAAAGUCAGACCCAACACUUAGGUUAGAGUUCUGCUCAUCUUAAAAAAAAGACUCCUUUGCUUUACCAUGGACAUAUUUGACCAUUUAGGUUCUCCUGGCAUUUAAUAUCCACUACAUCAAUUGGGAAAAACAACUUAGUAGGAGCCAAAAUGUGGGCAGAAUUUCACCUGCCAUAAUACUUGCUAUCACUCUCCAUGACUGACAUGACUGGAUGAUGAAAAAUGGCUGUAAUUGUGCUUCUGGUACAUCUUCAUAUGUGGCAACCUAGGAAAUACUGACACUGUGUGUGGCACAGGUGGGAGAGCUGUGUGAGUCUUCACAUCAGGGUAUUUUGCUGUCUUUGAAGUAAAAAUUAAAAUUUAAAAUGUUAGUGAUUAUAUUUGAUGGUGGCCAUGGAGGUCUAAAGGUUGUGGGAGGGCUUGUGGUUUUUAACAGACAAGGCAGAAAAGGUUCUGGGCAAACAGCAAAGUCAUCUGCCUGCCUUGUGUGAUACACUUGCUAUAGGCAGAGGAUGUUGCAGAUGUGUUCUGGACAUUAAGUAAUUAAAGAAAACAGUAGGACUGUGAAAAUCCAAAUGUUUCCAACUCCUUUAUUACCUUCUCAAAUUAUACUGCAAAGAUCCAGAGCCUAGACCUCUGGGACACCUCUGAGAAAAAGUCUGAGGAAGACAUUCUUCAAAAUAAUUCACCGUUUAGUUUCCUCAGUAUAGUAGAAACUAGAUAUAGCUGUUCUGGUUCCCCUCAGUCCUUCCAUUUAUAAAAGGUACCCAAUUCCAUGUAAACCUUUUUGAAAUAUUUGGGAGACUUCUCAGUGCUCCAAGGGAGAUGCUGUUCUCAAUAUUUAUGAUGUGUACCCAAACUGAUUUCUCUCUUUUAGUGUCUCCAGGGCAAAAUCAUUACAUUGUCAGAAAUAAACCAAGUCUAACUUGGGGGGGGGGGGAAGAAAUGGGAUUCCAUCGUGUGUUUCAUAUUAUACCAUUAUGAAAAUGGUAUAUUAAAUUCAAAUACUUCAAUUGUACCAUUAGAUGUUGUCAUUAUGUGGCUUGCUAAUUGAUAGGUUAUUCAAACGAACAUUAUAAUUUUAGACUUCUUAGAAGCAUCCAUAUGAGGAAUUUCCAAGCUUCAGAAAAGUAAACUGGGUGUUAGGAAGGAAAAACAUGUACUGAGAAUAUUUCCUAAUGCAUGUCACUGAAAAAUCAUUACAUAACUGCCGUGUGCAUUCCAGGACUUGGUGCAAUCUAUUUUUAAUACCCGGUAUGAAAGGACUUCCUGCUACUUUUUCUCUUUGAAAGCUGCUUUGUGGUUCAUUAGAUUGUGUUGUCAGGCCAAUUUUUCUGCUAUCCUUAAACCUCAUUUUUAUCUCCUUAAUAAAAAAAAGAAAAAAGGUGAAACUGUAUAGGAUGGAAGAAGGUGCUGAGCAUAAAGAGUAAGAUAUGUUGUGUAAGUGCUGCAGUGGUCCAAGAACUAAGCACUGCCAGCUCAGGCUUCAUAUUAAACCCCCAAAGAAAAUCUAAACAUAUUAAACACAUACUCAUUUAAGAAAAUCAAAAGAACUUGUAUGCCAAGCAACAGCACCUAGCAAAAAUUUUGAACUUUCUGUUUAUGAAUUUUUUUUAAUUAGAGUAUUUUAAAUUUCAUACUGUUCUCCAGCGUUAUCACAGGUCACCAUUUUGACUAUAAUUUGUAUAACCAUGACCAUUAAUAUGAAGCCUUUUGCUUAAAUGCAACCAAAUUUCUUCAAACACAGUCUGUGCAAGACAUUUCAGAAUAUUUUAACUGCACAGAAAGUUUACAGCAUUAGUGUAGCUUUGCUGUUAAAAUCCUGGACAAACAGACUGAUAGAGAUGAGAUGAGGUGGCCAGAGGGGCCACCAUUUUCACCUCCUCUGACCUCCUGCAAAACAAAGGCCACGGGAACUUCCUGAACUAAUUUCUUUUUGAACUAGAACAUAUCUUUUGGGUAAACCCACAGUCAAGUGACAGACAACACACUAAAUCUGCUAGAAGUAUUUAAAAGUAUUAAUUUUACAGGCAAAAAAUGUUUGUACUUGGAAAUCAACAGACAUUUCAUUGUAUAUUAGAAAGUUUCUGUGACUCUCUUAAUUCCAUCCACAGCAGAGAAACGGGAUGACAAUUUUCAGUGCCAAAUAGCACUGGGUGGUAAUUGCUGUAACUCUGGCUGUGAACCUGCUCUGGAAGGCUCUGGCAGGGAGGCAGCAGAGCGUGUCAGUCAGAUGACUGACACAGGUAAUGCCCUCAGCUGCCCUGCCUGCCCCUCCAACAUCCCUCGCUGGUGCCACAGAACGGAGGUUCCAACAUCUGGAGCAGCUCCUGAGCUGUCUUAGUGCUCAGUUUGGUGUACAAAGGCAAACAGUCACCUGUGAGAGAUGGGGAGCACUUUUGGAGGCUGUUAGCUUGUGCUCUCCCUGAGGCUUGUGAUGGUAAACUGCACUAACGGGGGUGUGGGGACAAGGGUACCUGCUCUGCUCUGGGGGUUCAGUCCAUCAGCACAUGCAGAGCAAGAGUCAGGGCAUUUAAGCACCCCAAAGCUAACUAAAUAUUUGGACUUCCCUUUCUGUUGCUUUGAUUCUCCCACCGGAAGCAAUUCCCUUCCUCCCUUCCCUCUCCUGUCUCCAUAAAGUUUCAUCUUCACAGAAUCCUUUUGGAUCAUUUAUUUCUGCACUUCUGUAGAUCUUUCAAGUUUUUUUGUUGCCAAAGAAACUGGUCCAGCCCUCAGUCCCGGUGCUCCAAUUCUCAAUCAAGCACAGUCCUCCCUCUCCCUCUUCACAUCAGAGCACUCUGGAUUUAUUUUCCUUUAUUUUAACUUUUAUUUUCAGAGGAAAUAUCUUCAUGCAAAAAUGUGAAAUCUGACUAUAUUCUACUUAUUUCAACAAAGUUUUUAGUAAGAAAUUCAUUACAGGUCACUUAGAAGUCUUCCACAUUUAGGCCAAAGUCAUGGAACUGCUCUGUUUAAUCUUGUCCAGUGCUUCAUAAUAACAUCUUGUUUUCGGUUGCUUGUCACCGUUUGGGCUGGUAUUCUCCAAGCCAAGCAUCUGCCUCAGGUUUAAUUUUUGGCAGUUGCUAGCUAAACCGCUGUAGUAAUUCUCAAGAACAAGGUUAAAAAAAUAUUUUGCCCGUAUUAAAAAAUAAUCAUCUGGUUGCUUCAUUCAGAAGUGUCGGUAUCCCCAUUACAGAAGGAAUUUGAAAUGGAACACCAUCACUGGUCUAGUUUCACCCAUGUACCUUUUAAGCAGCAACUUGGAAUUUGGCAGCACCGUCGCUGUGGUUUCACAGAUGUGCAUCCAAAUGCAAAAAAGUUAUAAGACUCCAUAAGUUAUAAGACUCCAUAAAAUUUCAGUGUGUGCAUGAUCAGUUAAGAAUUGUUCACUUUUGGCAGCUAAAUUUUCCAAAGACCAUCCCGUGCUGACGGAUCCCGCUGUGUGUUCCUUGGCUGUGGGGCCUGCAGGCACCAUGAGCUGCUUUUUCGGGGAGCAGAGCAUGAGAGCGAGCACAAAGCGAGGAAGAAGGAAGAGAUGAAGGCAGUAGAUUCCAGGGAGACAACUAUUACUGACUAGUGCUAGGAAUUCUCCUAAGGCAUCAUGGACAGAAAUCAGUUGUGGAAGCAGUUCUGCAUGACUAGGGGGAAAAAAGAAGAUUAUACAUAUUAACACAAAGAGAUUCUGCUAGGCAAUGGGAAAGGGUAUGGUUUAUUGGGUAAGGAGGUUAAUAAGCAUAACAGAGAUAGAAAUAAGAUACCAGAGGAAAUAAUUAAGAAAAAAUAAGAGGGUGCAGAUGAAGGAAAAGAAAAUAAUCUGCAGAUAAAGGAAAGGAAACUAGGAGGUGGAAAUAGAGUAUGAAGUGUGUAAGAAAGCAGGAGCCAGAGACUGGCGAGAUGUAUAAACAAAGUGUGGAAGAGAAAAUGCUGGGAGUUACCUGGAAACAGCACAAAGGAGAAGGAGAAGGCAGGAGCCAGGCAGAAGGAAAGUUACUUGAGAGCAUCAAGGGAGAGAAGAAGUGUGAGUGCAGACUGGACUCUGAGAAGAGGCUGAUUUUUUAAGUCAGACAUCAAUGCUAAUUGUGAUUUAUCUCAAAUGGUAUAGGAAUAGGACAUCAGGUAUGACUAGCAUCAAUAGCCACACUUUCUUUUUUUCUUGUUAGAGAUCUUCUUUAUAAAAUAUUCUGGAUCUCUUGAGCCAGAGCCCCAGAGUUAAGGUGACCGAAUGUCAUUAUCUGUUUAUUUUUCAGACUUCCUCUCUCUGAUUUUAUUAACAAACAUUAAAGUGCCUAAAGUACAAUAUGCUGCUCUUUUAACCACAGUAAAAAGUAUCUCUGCAAAAUACAUUUGUAAACACUACAAGUAAUUUUGAAAUUAUAGGUAGGGCUGCCAGCAAUGUCUGUCCCUGGCAGAGCAAAGCAAGGCCCCAUGUUGGGCUCAGUGGCCUUUUCAGCGUGGGUGUUUGUCACCUAAGAGGGCUUGUACCAUCCCCACAGUAAUUAGGCUGCCUUCAUCACAGGGGUGAGCAGCACUGCCUUGGCAAUUUUCUCUCCCACCACCUAGGAAUGCCACCUGGACAGUGGGUGUGCUGGGUGGGCUCUGCUGCCCAUGGGCAGAGCAGAGCUGGAGGUCACUGAGCAGGAGCUGGGGGGGUGGGAGAUCUCCUGCCCCCUGGUACUGCUGGAGCUGCAGAGACACCAGUUACACUCCUCCAGUGGCAAAGCAGGGGUAAACACUGAAAUUUGCCCCUAGCAUGGUGAUUCAGCUUGCAAGCAUCUGCCAUUUAUAAGAAAAUCCAAUUUUUUUUUAAUACAAAUGACAAAUGCUUCCCCACAACCAGCAUGUUUGGUCUGUCACGUUCUCUGUCAGCUGAAGGCAAGCUUUGCAGAGCUGAGCUGCUUUACUUUCCUUUUGAGAAUGAAAGUAGCACUGCUGCCAGAAGAUUGAGUUGUUGGUGUGUAUCAGGUGAUAGGAAAAAUUACUCUGAAACUGCACAUGAUCUGGCAUACUUUUAUAUAUAUAUAUGUUAAGGAGCUGCAAGUGUUGAUUUGCUGUCUAUGUAUCUGUUUGUCAUACUGAUAGCUUAAAACCACAAAUUACAUUCCUAAUAACAACUCCUAGGGGUAAGGCUGCUGUUAUUACUUGGUACCUCCUAAAGAUUAAACAGAGCUAAAAGUUUAUCCAUUGACCUAUUGCUUCUUCAGGCAGAUCUGUCUUCAAAUUCUGACCUCCGUCCCAGCUAAAAAUGUGUUCAAUCUUUUCUUAAUUUGUAAUAGAUACUUGUGUACAUUACAAAACCGUCUCGCAAUUUGGCAAAUUAAGUUGUCUGUGGUUAGCUCUGGAAUUACAGAGAUAUUGCAGUGCACUCAGCAUUGCAUAAUGAGGUUCCCCAGACUUUCCUUACUCGAGUGAGUAACAGCAAUCCUUAUCUCUAGCAUCAGAUUCAUCCCAUUUUUGAGAAAAGAAUUAGUAUCAAAUAUAUGAUGGGCAUGUUAUGCCUUGUGGCUGCAAUGUUGUUUCAAUUAACUUCUCUGAAUAUACCACAAUGAAAAGUGUCAGCUUUUUGCCUCAGAGGCCUAUAAUUAGAUUAAAUGAAUACUGUUAAUUAUCUACUACCUUCUUUACACAAAACAGUAUGUUUCCAUAAAUUAAAAUGCUCGUACAGGAAGGAAAUUGUUGUUCACUCCAAUACAUGCAUACAGUGCUGGAUUGUGAACACUGUGACUGUAUCACAGUGUACCACAGCUCUUUGUCUGCAGCCCUUAUUUUACAGGAGCUAAAAGAAAUUACAUCUGAAAAAUCCACAGGCAUCACACUAUUUAAAGUAUAUAUGUUGGUGCAAGGAAGUGAUAUUAUUAAAUGCUGCAGUGCUCAUGAAACAAAUAUACUUUUCUCUUGUAACAGAUGUUCUCUAUAAAAUUCCCUUAGAGAGAUUAAAUACAGCUUUGUUUGUAUACCUACA